CACAGAUAUAAUGAGAGCAAAAAAAUUUGUUAUAUCAAGGUAAUAGGAAGAAUUACUACAAGACAUUAUUCAAGGUCAAAAAGAAAGUCUGAUUUUGCCAUUACCUUCAUUGAUGA